GGAUUGAANUGGGGGAACCCUGAUCCAGCCAUNCCGCGUGCGNGAAGAAGGCCUUCGGGUUGUNAACCGCUUUUGUCAGGGAAGAAAUCCUCUGGGUUAAUACCUCGGGGGGAUGACGGUACCUGAAGAAUAAGCACCGGCUAACUACGUGCCAGCAGCCGCGGUAAUACGUAGGGUGCGAGCGUUAAUCGGAAUUACUGGGCGUAAAGCGUGCGCAGGCGGUUGUGCAAGACAGAUGUGAAAUCCCCGGGCUUAACCUGGGAACUGCAUUUGUGACUGCACGGCUGGAGUGCGGCAGAGGGGGAUGGAAUUCCGCGUGUAGCAGUGAAAUGCGUAGAUAUGCGGAGGAACACCGAUGGCGAAGGCAAUCCCCUGGGCCUGCACUGACGCUCAUGCACGAAAGCGUGGGGAGCAAACAGGAUUAGAUACCCUGGUAGUCCACGCCCUAAACGAUGUCAACUGGUUGUUGGGAAGGUUUCUUCUCAGUAACGUAGCUAACGCGUGAAGUUGACCGCCUGGGGNAGUACGGCCGCNAGGUUGAAACUCAAAAGAAUUGACGGA
rnacentral:rRNA from 1 species